rnacentral:rRNA from 1 species
UACGAAGGGUGCAAGCGUUACUCGGAAUUACUGGGCGUAAAGCGUGCGUAGGUGGUUUGUUAAGUCUGUUGUGAAAGCCCCGGGCUCAACCUGGGAAUGGCAAUGGAUACUGGCAGGCUAGAGUGCGGUAGAGGGUAGUGGAAUUCCCGGUGUAGCGGUGAAAUGCGUAGAGAUCGGGAGGAACACCAGUGGCGAAGGCGGCUACCUGGACCAGCACCGACGCUCAGGCACGAAAGCGUGGGGAGCAAACAGG